rnacentral:lncRNA from 1 species
GUAUUGAACAACGUAAGUUGAAUAUAAUUAUCAAUAAUUUAUUACAUAAGUAUAAGGCUUAACAUUUUAUAGAAAAGGGGAAAGAUUGCAUAACAUUUCUGCUUUCACCAAAGAAAUUAUUCUCGGAAACUCAAUUCUUUUGAUGAGUCUGAAAGAGGAAAAACCAAAACAAAACAUGCAUAGUAAAUAAAUAUCUAAAAUGUAAAUACUCGAUCUUUUGAAUGUUUUGCAAUUUCAGGUGAAAGCUAGUCAGUGAGAGAAAUUUUAGUUGUAGUUCUGGGAAGGAAUGGUUGAGAUAAAGUAUUUUUGUAGAGAACCAUUGAAACUUAGGUAAAGUAGGAACUAGAGUAGGAGGAGUUAUAUUUUAGUUGAAGGUGAUAUUUACAAAUUGUGAAUGUAGAAUGAAAACUAGUGUAUUAAUAGCAGACAAAAAGCAGAAGCAGGACACAGCUUUUCUGUGAGUGAGUAUUAGUAACUGCUUGUUAAUAAGUGUACUAUCUUCUUGGGAGUCUUACGUAGUGCAAAUUAUGUGUGAAAUGAUACAAUGGUUGAUUUAAGAAUUGCAGUUGGAAGAUGGAUAAAAUGUUAGAAUAAUGGCCUAAAGAUCACGUAUGUAAUAAUAUUUAGGUCACAUCAUUAUUAAAAGUUCUUUAAUCUGUUUGUUUUGAAAAUCAGUAAUAAAUUAACUUUAAUUAGGCUUUUGAGAAAAGAAAGUAACACAGCUCUUAAAAUGACGACUGUAACAAUUCAUGUAUGAGGGGUAAUCAAAAAUUAUCUGCACUUUUGCCAUAACACAUCUUUAUCAUUGUCACACUGCCUUUUGUGCACAUGUGCUUAUAGUUGGUACUAAUUUGGUCCUGUGAUCAAAGUUUGAACCUGAUCACACCAUUUUCCUUUCUGGAUUUACAGGGUAAGCAUGGCUGCUCCACUGGCAAUGUGUACCAAAGAAGAACAAAGAGCAGCAAUUUGAGUUCUCUGGUCAGAAGGUAUGUCAGGUGGUGAAAUUCAUUGGAGGCUUUUAGUACAAUAUGGGGAUGCCAGUGAUGAAAAGAUUCAGCCUUCAGUGGGAAAGGUGAUGCUAACCCUUUUUGGGGACUCAAAAGGGCCUAUACUGGAAGACUACCUGGAAAAGUGUGUACGAUCAACAGUGCAAGAUAUAGUGCUUUGCUGGCCAACAAACUGAAACCAGUAAUUCACACCAAACGCCGAAGUAUAUUGUCAAAGAAAGUUUUGUUGUUGGUUGAUAAUGCAUGCCCAUAUAUGGCCACCCAGACCAAUAAAACCAUUAACCAAUUGAGUUUUGAGGUGCUGGAACACCCUGCCUACAGCUCAGAUGUUGCCCCUUCUGACUGUCAUAUCUUUGGACCACUCAAAGAUGGUUUACAUGAUCGUUGAUUUCCUAUGCAUGAAGAUGUGAAGGAAGCAGUACAUAGAUGGUUAUGCAAUCAACUGAAAACCUUCUUCUUGGUAGGAAUAUGCAAACAUCAGAAUUGCUAGUCCAAGUGCAUCGAAAAGGAAAGGGACUAUAUAGUCAAAUGGUGCACUUACUUAUCCCUUGUUUUUGUGUAAAUACAUUGAAAAAAAAACAAGAGUGCAUAUAAUUUUUGUCUCUCCCUCAUAAAUUUCCAAUGAGUUACAAUAUUUCAAUAAGCAUGAAUCGUUACUGAAACAUAUCAUUUUAUUUUUAAAAGCAUUACAUAGUAUUUGACUUGAAAAAUGACCAGUCUUAAGGCAACAGUUGUUUUAAAUCUUAUUUUUCUUUAUUUGUUUGUUAAUUAAUUUACUAAUCAGGCAAAAUAUAUUUUCCUUAUUUCAGAAUGUGGAAAUCAAAAUAUGAACUUAAUUGAACCCAACAUUAGAUAUGGACAAAAAUCUUUGGAUGGUAAAUGGCCAUGGGAUGUGCAGAUUUUUGCAGGUUCCCAAUUGAUUUGCACUGGAGUCAUCAUCAACAGUCACUAUGUGCUUACUGCUGCUCACUGCUUAAUGUAGGUACUUUCAGUAUAUUGACAGCAUUACUUCUUGUCUGUGUGUAUUCAGUGAAGGUAUUCUUGUGUCUUGUUUCAGUUGCUUUAGUCUCAAGUCAACUACUACUCAUGUAUUUAUAUAACAGUGCAAUUCAUUGCAAAAUCUUUCAACUUUCUUUCACACAUCAGUUUUUCUUUCAACCAAUUUGUCUUAUUCAUUUCAUCUAACAUCACACAUCCUGUUGAAACUACUUAAAAAAGCCUCUGCAUUCAAUGCCCCUUUCACUACUGUGUGAUAUUGCACUUCAUACACAAGCAGCAUACAAUCUGUUCUCUUCUUACUGAAAAUUUGUUAUACAUACACACACACACACAUACAUACACACACACACACAUACAUACAUACAUGCAUACAUACAUACAUACAUACAUACAUACAUACAUACACACAUACAUACACGCACACAUACAUACAUACAUACAUACAUACAUACAUACAUACAUACAUACAUACAUACAUACAUACAUACACACACAUAUACAUACAUACACACAUACAUACACACAUACAUACACACACACAUACAUACAUACAUACAUACAUACAUACACACAUACAUACACACACACAUACACACACACAUACAUAUACACAACUCGCACCUCCGAGCAGCAGACUCUCCAGGGGCUGGGGGUCCCCUUGGGUGGUUUCUCCUCCGGGGGUCUCACCUCCCACGGCCACCACUUCAGCACCAGCCACAGGUUGGCACCUUCCCUCUGCGGCUUGGGUAACACCUCCGCCAACGCCGCCAGGCUUCCUACUAGCCGCCCACAAUAGGCGCACCGUCCGAGGAAGUUCCUCAAAUCCCUCACACAAGAAGGGUCCGGCCAAUCCCUCACAGUGGCCACCUUCCUCAGGGCUCUAUAGCCCACGUAGCAUCUUGCUGUACCAUCUCCAUUCCGCGUAAUUAUCGCCGACGACCAGGGACCAUUCCGCUUUUCCACUGUUCCCCGUCGCCGAUAUCUCCUCUUGCGCUGCUGUACUGAGACCUUCCUCCGGCCUCGCUGCUUCCUCAAGCGACAACCGCCCUGGUCGACGAAACGUUCUGCCAGGUCCGUGCGACCAGCAUCCAACAACCCUCGCGACCAACGUCCUGCGCUCUUCACCAACGGUUGCUUCUUCCGCAACUGCAUCAGCGGACCACGAUCUCCCUUAACUUCAUCACUGCACCGGCAGAACUGACCCCGCCGCUGGUUUACCGUCCGGCGCAGUUCCACGAUUUGCCCUCUGCAAAUCGCCUGCGCAGCCUUCAAUAAAUCGGCCGACCCACCCAGCGCUCUGUCAGCCUCUGCCUCCACCAGGGUCCAGCCGACCCUCAAUUGAGUUUCUAUUCCGCACUGCAUGUCGGGCUCCACCGGCCCCACGCAACCAUCGAACACAGCGCUCCCCCAAGUGCCAACAAAGCACCAGCGACUCCUUGCGGACCGCCUCCUCAACUGCAUCCGUGGGCCACCAACUCCUUCAACUGCGUUGCCGUAUCGGCAGAGCUGGCCCCACCACUGGUUCGCCAUCUGGCACGAUUCCUCGAUUUGCCUUCUGCAAAUCGCCUGUGCCACUUCCAAAAGAUCGGCCGACCCAGCUAGCGCUCCACCAGCUUCUGCUUCCACUAGGGUCCACCCGACCCUCAAUCGAGCUUUCACUAGGCACUGCCUGUCGGGCUCCACCGGCCCCAAGCAACCAUCAACCACAAAGCUCACCCAACGCUGAAGCAGUCUUCCUGGUCUCGGUGGACCCACCACCGUUCGCAGCCGUCUCGCCUCGUCAACGGGCCUGGCCCUUUUCCUCACCAGCUUCCGUCCCGCAGGCCUCACAACACACACGCUCGGCCGCCAGUCCAUCCACGCCUGUGGCCUCUCCACAGUGGGAACCAUACAGUCCCUCUGGGCCCCAAGAGACAGGGGUCCAGACACCAAAGGACCCGCACACGGCAUAGCACCUGCCGCGACCAUCACACACAGAGCCGGAACCUCGGACUCAGCGACAUUCGCCCCAGACCUCGCCAGCUCUUCGUCCUGAGCUCCGAGAGACAGGGGUCGAGAUGCCAAGGGCCCCAGACACGGAACAACAGCAUCAGCCAUAACACCUUCAACAGGCCUUUUGGUUACUUCAACCUCUACGGGUUCCAAAUCACAAGAUUUCUUGGGUACAGCGUCACAAAUUUCGGCAACCAGCCCAGGUUCCGCAAACACAGCCGGUCCAGCAUCACAGAUUUCGGCAACACUUCCUUCACUAUCUGUUUCCCUCGAUGCUUCGUUCGACGGGCAAUCUCUGCCCACAGGACCGUCGCUAUCCUCGGUCCAACACCGAUCCUUCAAAGCUGACCCAUCCGCAACCUCAAGCUCCCGCUGAUCUGCCCACAGGCCCUGUCGCCUCCUGUCCAUUCUCUCCACGAACGCGUCCGUCUGCGCCAUCUGGCCCCUUAACAUCUCCACAAUCAGGGCAAGCGAAAUCUCCUCGUCUCCGGUCUGACAACCAGACAAAUCCAUAGCGAAAAAAAAAAGCCGACCGAAACGCAGCAAUCAGGACAAUCCCACUUCUGACACCAGUUGUUACGGAAUCGCCCGUCGUCGCCCGUCCCGAACGGCUCACACAAGUUCCGCCACGGCACCCAAAGAGGCGGAGAGAGGAGACACAGAUAGAUACUGCCACAACCUCAACAGCACAGAGAUACAGAGGCACAACCCGAGAUACAACCCAAAGAGGCAAGGCAACAACUGGCAACACUGGCUUAUAUUCAAACAACAGUUUAUACGACAAUUACAAUUGUUACAACAUCAAAGCAUUUAAGGCAACAACAAAUCAAUACAUCAUACGGUAUACCACAGAUCAAAGCAUUUAACAACAUGCAUGUAACAAUAUAACAGUGUUUAGUAACGACACAACAAGUCCAGAUCAAAUAAUGUUCACGAUACGUCACAGUCCAAUCAGAACACUUCGACACAUUAUACAAUGUUCGUAUCACAACAAUUCACGUUACAAUUCAACAAGUCCUUUACUCAAUUCACAAUGUUCUUUAUCGACUACAUCGACAGAGUCCUUCUUUUUCUUUUACAGUCUCUUUACCUCGUGACACGUAUCAAUACACAAUCACAUACCUUAAUUCCUAACUGAAUCUGCCAGUGUCCCAAUCCUCUCAAUACUGCUAAUUCCUCUGAAUACUGCUAAUUCCCUUCUGUGUCGCCAAGCUUUCUCGCACCCAACUUGCUCCUAAGAAUUCCAACGCUUGCUCCUUAAAUCCAAGGUCCGUCUGUCUUCUUCGAGGACCGGCCAGCGACUCCAAGAUCCGUCUGUGUUCCUCGACGACCGCUCAACGACUGCCAAGACCUCACUUCGUCUCUGUCCUUCUUCCACUCCCUCAUCUCCCUCUGUCUAUAUCGCUCCUACCCUUUCUAACUGCCCUGGUCCUUAUACCCUAUCUAUAUCGCCUGCUGUCUCUUAGCCUUUCUAUCUGUCCCUUACUGCUUAUCCUUUCUAUUUGCCCUCUGCUCUUACUCUAUCGCUAUCGCCUGCCAGACUCUUAGCCUCUCCAUCCGUCCCUUACUGCUUAUACUCUAUCUCUAUUUGCUCUCAGCCCUUAAUCUGUCCCUUUUCUCUCACUGUCAAUACCCUCUCAAUCUGUUCUUAGAUUCCCUUAAUCUGUCUUCCUCUUCACUGCUUCACUGACCCUUUCUCGACCGGCACAAGGGCAAAGGUCCUUCCAAAACCCAUUAAACAAGGAACCUGUCAGUUUCACCAGACAUACUGGAACCAUUAUUCCUAUGUGGGUCACCAGAAACACUACACUAAUUAAACCCGAAAUGCACUUAGCCAACCGUAACAAUAUACACACAUACAUACAUGCAUACAUACAUACGAGAUUGCUAAUAUAUGUAUGUGUGACAGCAAACAACUAUUUGACAAGUGUGUUGGGAAGUAUGUUUGAUUAUUUAAACAUGAUGAUUGGUUGUGACUACAGCACUCUCCUGGAUGUAGAAGUACUCCUCUGAGGGUCUUACCUUUGUAUAGUGCAAGUAGUCACUGGAAGAUGAUUUAUUUUCUGAAUCUGAAGAGGUGGAUCAGUCUUGAGAAGCAAAGUAAGGAGAUAGUAUGCUGGCUUUCUCUAUGGAACUAAUAUGUAGAGAACCACCAUAGUUGAGAAGUGGAGGAAAGAAAACUUUACAAAAGUGGUAGAAAUUCUUUUUGCACAGGACUAAAACAAUUGGUCACAAUUUAGGGAGCAAGAUUGCCUGCAGGACCAGAUGAUUCUCAGAGGCAUCUUUUGAGAUCUAGAUGAUGGUCUCCCAGGAGCUGCAGUACUACAUAAAAGCCAUCUAAUUUCUAGUGGAGAGAGAUUUUUCUGUAAACAUUACAGGCUAUUUUUGAUUGAACUGCAGUGCUUCUUUGAGGGAAUGACUUCUUGGUGUUUGAGAUUUGGUUGUAUGUGGAAUAUGUAGAGAAACAUGCUUAAAAGAAUGUUUUUAGUAUCUUGUUUAGCUAUCUCUGAGGGGUCAUGGUUGAAGCACAUAAGAUACCACAUAAGUAGUAUAAAAGGGGUAGGGCUUCAAUCAUUCAACUUAUUUGAAGAAGCAUUCACAUAAAAAGCACCAACCAAUCAUGGCCAUUGCCAGCCUCGCCUGGUACCUGUGCUGGUGGCAUGUAAAAGCACCCACUGCACUCACGGAGUAGUUGUUGUUAGGAAGAGCAUCCAACUGUAGAAAUAUUGCCUGAUCAGACUGGAGCCUGGUACAGUCUCCUGGCUUCCCAGACCCCAGUCGAACCGUCCAACCCAUGCUAGCAUGGAAAACAGACGUUAAACAAUGAGAAUGAUUGAUGAUUCAGUGUGGGAAGAGGGGAGCCAUUAUUUACACCAUUGUUGAUGGUGAAAGACAACUGGUAGACAACUAGUAUGAUGUAUUUAUAGCUGUAAGUAGGGGUAAGAAGACCUACAAAAUGAUAUCUAUUGGACUGUUCAGAUGCAUCCUAUUUUCAGUUUAUCAUCUGAGUAAAAUAAGGAAUAGACGUUUAUGGAUAUGCUGACAAAUGAUGACAAAAAUGGCUACUUUAUGUGAACUGUGGACUUUAUAAAGUAUUCAUAGGGCAUUAGCUCUGGAUGUGGAAGAACUGUGAAAGCUAGUGAAAGAAAUGACUUUUGAAUGAUUUAGUAAAAUGUAGCACACAAGAGCAGGGAGACCUCAUCUGAAGCAAGCAUAUAUCACUGACUUAGUAUUGGCAUAGAUUCUGAAGUGACUGUAAGGUUUAAAAGAAAAAGUUUUCUGUAAUUUCUGUGGAGGAUAACAAUAGAAUGGGUUGACUGAGAAAGAUAUGAGAAGUGAUGUCAAACAUCAGAUGUUAGGUGAAGUGAAAUGCUGAUAAGAUGAGCAUGAGACCCAUCCAGCUUGGAAAAAUAUGACGAUGACGACGACAAUGAUGAUGACGACAAUGAUGAUGAUGUCGAUGAUAUAACAAUGUUUUCUUUCUUCUAGAUAUGUAGACAAAUAUGAUUAUUCUAUAAGAGUUGGAUCUGUUAAGAAGAAUCAAGGAAC